AAACAUUCAACAAACAGAAGCAGGACAAUUCACCCGUGUUACGGAGUUAAUGGUAUUGAUGGUGUCACCUAUCUAUUCCAACUCUAUCCAUGUUUUAACACUGUCCUGGGGAAAAUAUGACAGGAGAAGGAGCAGGUUCGAGAAGCGCUGAAGAACAGGGUUGAUCUCACCUUCGGGAGAGCUGUCAGAGAGGUGGACCUGCAGGAGAUACACAGAGUGGGAAGAGAAUAAAUACAGCCCGGGGAGUGUGGCCUACGUCACUCACCUUCAGGAGGAGCAGUAGGAGAGCCGGGCCUGUCAGCAGCUCAGAACCGGCUGCGCUGAGUUCAAAAGAAGAGUGAAAAAAAAACACAUUGUAACAUCACAGGAAAUAAGCAAUUUGAUUGGUUAGAGAAGAAGCUUCCUGUUUGUUGAGUAUCUGCACCACAUUCACUGUCACACUGCAGUCACAUGCCAAGCCAGCCGACCAGUCGUCAAGGAGAGAUGAAAGGAACACCUGAAGUGCCAGCACUCGGAGUCAAAAAUGCAAUUAUUUCUAAUGAAUGGG